CCAUCGCCAGCAUCGCGUUCUUGUCCGCUUGUUCCGCACGCAAUCCGUGAAUAAUUCGGUUUGAGUGAGUUCCGUUUUUCCGUGUUUUCUGGGACCGGUCGUUCUUUAGUGGUUUGAUAAGUGUGCUUAUUGAAAAACAAGAAAUAGCGUUUCCGGCUUGGAAUAGCUAUUUAGCCGCAGAAGGAGUACCGAACAGCGAAUCUUUGCAUCUUCAGACGUGCCGUGCAGAAAGCAGAAGGAUCCGUACGUCGCUUGGUUCAGUAGUACGACCAAGCGCUUCUUCAUUCGAGUUCGAGUUUCAUAACAGCAUGGCGUAUGACGGUUGGGAUAAUUCCGAAGCAAAGCUUAUUAGCACUCGCCAUAAGUUCUGCAUGUUAGAAUAUUUCGGGGCGUUUCUUGAGCAAACUCACGGCUGCGAUUCGGGUUCCAAAGUCAUCGCUGCAUACCGUGGUUUGCGUUGCCCAGCACCCUUUUGUCAAUAUCAGCGCUUCCCGGACACCUGCGAGUUCGUUGACCUAGACCAUAAUGCCAUCCGUCCAUGGUUGCAACAACUCAUCGCCGCGUGUGAAUCACCUGACAGGAAUGCUACCAUUGGAUCCUAUGGUCACGAUGCAAAGCGAUCAUUCGACGUGUCCCUGCACAAGCUUAAGGACAUUUAUACAUGUUCCAUUCCGGGUACAGGGAUUAAAUAUGGCAUCUAUGACCGCGCCACCUUCGAGACUAAGUAUGGUCUCGUCUGGCAAGAGUAAUAGGUUUCCAGCACCACCCGGCUAUCCGUAUGAUAUUCUAUUUUCUUUUGUUUUUCUCCUUCCCUGAAUUUCCUUGCGGCAUUGUAGGCCGCCUUUAUUAUACAGGGUUAUGUUUGUAUUCAUCAGAGUGGCACUACAAGAGUAAUACAGUUUUCACAUAAAGCUACCUGUACUCAUUUAAAGAUGACUUUGAAAAACGUCAUUCUACACUUAUCCGAAUUGCACGCCCCUAGUACAACACUUCUUUCAGCAUACCAGUGACCAAUAGUGACCAGUGAAAAAGCAACAGUUCCAAAUCGUCCAUCGUCUAGUCCGCAAAGUCUGCUUCUCAGUUUUGUGUUCUAUGAGCACUUCCACAGUUAUUAACUGGGAGCUUCUUCUGGCAAUGAUCAUUUUUGCAUGUGAAUAUCGUGUGGCAGACAUGAAGAUACUCUAUGCCCAAGGAAGUCUAGGAAAUUUCCAUUACGAAAUGUUCCUGGACCACGUAUGUGGCAACCCUAAUCCCACCUAAUGCAUCUGACAGGAGCCAACAUCUAUCGUGUAUCCACAAUGGAAUUUUUUGUGGAUACACAAAUGUUUACAUAAAAUAUGUUGGAUUCUUAAACAUGGCGGCCUCGCACCCUGUUGUCCUGGACCGACACGUGUCAGAGUCACCACGUGUUUUUGUCGAUGUUUCGAACAUGUCCCCAUGUUCGUUGUUCCUUUCCACCACUCUAAUUAUGGUUUAUAAUAAUCCGAUUGUUUCUUGUAUUCGCGCGUUCAAUGUUGUUUCUGAAGAAUUCGACUUCGAUAUGCCCAAAAGGGUUUUUUUUUUUAAAUCGAAUAAGAAGAAUUGUUUAGUUUUAAAUAGUUGUAAAUUAGUAUUAAGUAGUUCAGUCUGUACGAUUUUUUUAAACGGUGAAUAAUAAUAAUAAUAACAUAUAUCGGUGAAAAUGCAGGGUUCUAGUCAUCAUCAAGGUUGUGUUACGUUUGUAAUUAUUUGUGAACAUUUUGUUAGUAGUUUUAUAUGUUACUAGCUGUCCCGGCAAACGUCGUAAUGCCUGCCUACUGUGUUUUUUUGACAUACAACUCCAUAGGGACGUCCCCGGCGAAGUCAUCUGUAUGGGAGCCCCUCGUUCCAGAGACCGACCGGAGAGGUCUCGCACCAAGCUAUAAGAACCUUCAUCGGCCUCAAAUAUACCCGCAUACAAAAUUUCACACCGAUCGGUUCAGUGAUUUCCGAUUGCAUAGUGGUCAGAUGGACAGACAGACAGAAAUUCAUUUUUAUAUAUAUAGAUAUCCGUAUGAGUGAAUCUGUCCUUGACCCUUAAUUAGCGUUUGUAGUGCUGCGGCCAAUGCGGGAAAUGAUUAUUCACAAGACUUGUGAACCGUCCCCUACCACGGAUAUCAUACGGUGUAGGCGAUCUCGUAUUAAAACCCGAAUCGACGUGUCCUCUUAGGGGUUUCCAGUUGGCCUAAUGGUUAAGGCUUUGGAUCGCCAAUCAGGAGACGGCGGGUUCGAUUCCCGUUCCGGUCGGGAAAAUUUUCUCCCUGGGUAUAGUCUGCCGUAAUUCUGCAAAGUGACGUAAGCGCCAUUCAAAAUUUCAUUAAUUUUUGGUAUAUUAUACAUAAUAUCUAGUGUAACUAGAAAAAUAACUCUGUGGAAUGCCUGCUGUAUAAUAAUGCAAGAUCUAGUCGUAAUCUAUCAUCUAUGGAAAGAAACUUAGAGGAUGACCAAGAGUUUUGUGCACAAUAACCAAAAAAUGGCCCAAAACUAGCAAUGUCGCUUACGUCACUUUGCAGAAUUACGGCAGAUAGUGUAUCAUUGUGCUUGCCUCACAAUAUACUAAUUCAUGCAACGGCUGGCAAAGAAUGCCCUCCAAUUAAUAACUGUGGACGUACUCAAAGAACACUAAGUUAGAGAGAGGCAGGCCAAAUUCCAGUGGGAACGUAGAGCCAUACAGAAGAAGAAGAAGUACCCUCUUAGGAUUAGAAAUUUCUAGACCAAACCACAGAUUGUUGGAUGAGACGACAGCGAGGCCUGGUUACGAGCCUCUGGAAUUCUCUCAAAGCAAAUAAUGGCAGCUAACGACAUGUCCAGAAAAUGUAAAACCGCUGAAGUCGAAAUGAGUACUCUGGUUGAAGGUGGCAGGCCGGUCCGCUACAAAACAAGAUUAGUUGCGAAGGGCUAUCUCCAGAAGCAAUCACCUGGAAAUGACGUGCCGAAUGCUUUUCUGCAUGGUUCUCUCAUAGAAACCAUCUUGGAUGUUGGAACGUGCACAACCGACGAACUUCUCAGAAUAGGAUAAAUCCAGUUCGAAGCAUGAUCAAUGCCUUAUCUUAUCGGUAUGGUAGGGAGAUCGCCAGAAAUUGCUUGAUCUCUCAGUGCGGUGAAAAUUCAGGCAAGGAAUCAUUCAAGAAAUGAGCAAUCUUUCUUGAACCCUAUUACGGAGCUAAGAAGAAACGUCAACGUCACCGGAAUGGACAAG